GUCUACAGCCAUGACACCCUGAACAAGCCCGAUCCCGUCUGAUCUAGGAAGCUAAGCAGGGUUAGGCCUGGUUAGUUCUUGGAUGGGAGACCACCUAAGAGGACCAGAUGCUGUAGGCA
rnacentral:rRNA from 1 species